rnacentral:rRNA from 1 species
GAUGAACGCUGGCGGCGUGCCUAAUACAUGCAAGUCGAGCGCAGGGACGAGAAGCUUGCUCUUCUGAUGUUAGCGGCGGACGGGUGAGUAACACGUGGAUAACCUACCUAUUAGACUGGGAUAACUUCGGGAAACCGGAGCUAAUACCGGAUAAUAAUUUGAACCGCAUGGCUUAUAAGUGAAAGAGGGUCUUGCUGUACUUUAUAGAUGGCCCCACGCUGCAUUAGUUAGAUGGUAAGGUAACGGCUUACCAAGGCAACGAUCAAUAGCCGACCUGAGAGGGUGACCGCCCACACGGGAACGAGAACACGCUCCGGACUCCUACGGGAGGAACAGGUAGGGAAUCUUCGGCAAUGGGGGAAAGCCUAACGGAGCAACGCGGCGGGAUGAAGAAAGGUCUUCGGAUCUUAAGACUCUGUUAUAAUGAAAAAACAGAGGUGUAAUGAACUGUGCACAUCUUGACGGUACCUAAUCAGAAAGCCACGGCUAACUACGUG